GCGGGUAGAGCUCAAGUGGCAGAGUGUGUGCUUAGCAAGCACAAGGUCCUGGGUUCAAUCCCCAGUACCUUCU
rfam:Camelus ferus unplaced genomic scaffold scaffold335, whole genome shotgun sequence.